UAACGUAGGGGCGGUAGCGUUGUCCGGAAUCAUUGGGCGUAAAGCGCGUGUAGGCGGUCCGGUAAGUCCGCUGUGAAAGUCGGGGGCUCAACCCUCGGAUGCCGGUGGAUACUGUCGGGCUUGAGUACGGAAGAGGCGAGUGGAAUUCCUGGUGUAGCGGUGAAAUGCGCAGAUAUCAGGAGGAACACCAAUUGCGAAGGCAGCUCGCUGGGACGUUACUGACGCUGAGACGCGAAAGCGUGGGGAGCAAACAGG
rnacentral:rRNA from 1 species